rnacentral:rRNA from 1 species
CCUACGGGUGGCAGCAGUCGAGAAUCAUUCACAAUGGGGGAAACCCUGAUGGUGCGACGCCGCGUGGGGGAAUGAAGGUCUUCGGAUUGUAAACCCCUGUCAUGUGGGAGCAAAUUAAAAAGAUAGUACCACAAGAGGAAGAGACGGCUAACUCUGUGCCAGCAGCCGCGGUAAUACAGAGGUCUCAAGCGUUGUUCGGAAUCACUGGGGGUAAAGGGUGCGUAGGCUGUUUCGUAAGUCGGGUGUGAAAGGCGCGGGCUCAACCGGCGGACGGCACAUGAUACUGCGAGACUAGAGUAAUGGAGGGGGAACCGGAAUUCUCGGUGUAGCAGUGAAAUGCGUAGAUAUCGAGAGGAACACUCGUGGCGAAGGCGGGUUCCUGGACAUUAACUGACGCUGAGGCACGAAGGCCAGGGGAGCGAAAGGGAUUAGAUACCCGAGUAGUC